GCCCGCCGCUCCCGCCCACAGCGAUCUAAGCCCCGCGCUGGGUCGGCAGACGGGUGCGGGGAGCCUCAUGCCGCGGCUCGGGGUCGCUGCGGGGGCUGGGGUGGCGUUUGGCCACUCUCGGCCCCCGUAUCCGAAGGAAGCGGAGUCCGUUGGCAUGGUCGUUACUGGUUUAUCUUGUUCCUGGAAAGUUCCAGGGGUUCCCUCACGCAGUUUUGACAGUGGGAAUUCGAAGUAGGUGGGAGAAAAGAGCCACGAGGGUUGAGCAAGACUCAAGUCAUCUGGGAGAAAUGGCAUUUACCAUGAACUGAAGGAAGCCCAUCCAUGUUCAAGACAAACAUAUAAGCCAGAUACAGUGCCAUGCUGGAAUCCUAUCUACAGAGGAAGCUGAAGCCACAGAAUUCCGCCAAUAUAGAAGAUAUGGAUUCAACUUAGCAAGGAACUUGUAUGAAGAGCAGCCUACUGCUGUAUAGUUUUGGGAACAACCAUGCUCUGGGAAAGCUAACAAGGCAGCAGCCGAGUGGAGCUCAGCGGGCACAGCACAGCCCCAAGUUCAGUCCCCAGUACUACAAACCAGGAACCACUUCUGUCCCUUCCUUUUUGUCCAACUCUCAGAUCAAAGUUCACCUUGGUACACAAUGACAAUAGAUCCAUCUCUAUUAUUUCCUUCUAGUUUUCAGAGUCUAUUAUAUUCUAUUUCACAUAUAUCCCUGCAGAUGUAUGUGUGCCUUUGUGUAAAGUAUAUAAAAAAUUCAUUAAAUUAGAAAUAAAGGUCUAACAGUACUCCCCCAACACAAACUGGGUAGCUGUAGACUAGAACAGUUUUUUAAAGUGGUAUCACAUGUGUGUAAACACACACACACACACACACACACACACAGAACAAUGGUGUAAGACUUCCAAAUGUGCAAUGAUCAAAUAUCAAAUACAUAAUAGUUUAGACGUGUUUCUGUUCAUAGUCACAUAUUACAUCACUGCAGCCUUGAUUCAAAACAUACAUGUACACUGUAUGACAUCAUGCCUGCUACACCAUCAAAAGGUGUCUCAAACAGCUGUUUAGAUUGGUACCAUUGUAUGAGCUAAUGUUUUCUGAUCUUACAGAAAACGUGAUUAAUUAUAGAAAACAGAAUUUCAGUGUUUCCCUACAGUUAACUCCUCAGCAUGUAAUUAAACUAGUUAGUUACCCUUUGGACUGUACUGUAAUUUGUUGACUUGAGUUUCAUAUAAAAAAACAUUAAAUGAAUUUUGGCUUGGAAUUACAACAGAAUUUCCAAUGAUUUCUGAUAUAAUUCAAAAUAUACUUCUGUCACUUUGAACUAUAUAAAAGUGAUGUUCUCAGUAUUGAUGGCUACGAAAUCAAACCAACUCUGAAAAAUGUUGGAGAUGCUCUGUCCUGCAGUGUAAUAUAUUCAGCCAAGAUUUGAUUCUUUAUGUGAAAAUAAGUGAGCACAUCUAUCUCAUUAGCAUGCAGAUGUGCUUUAAUCUUCAAUCAAUGUUCAAUUUAUAUCUGUACACCAAAAAAUGCCUUAAGAUCUUUGAUUUAUUAUUAGUAAAUGUUUGAGUGGUAUACUUAUUUAUAUGCUUGAGGCUGCAUGAAGAUUUCUCAGACAAAAAGGGGUUACAAAGGAAAAAAGUUUAACCUGUGCUGGUGAAAUGUGAAGAGAUGGUGGCCAGGGUUGUCCCCCACAACUGGCCUGUUUCCCAGCAGAGGCAGCUAAGCUGCACUGUGACUAAAGGACAGCUACCUGGAAG